rnacentral:rRNA from 1 species
AACGAACGCUGGCGGCAUGCCUAACACAUGCAAGUCGAACGAGACCUUCGGGUCUAGUGGCGCACGGGUGCGUAACGCGUGGGAAUCUACCCUUGGGUUCGGAAUAACAGUUAGAAAUGACUGCUAAUACCGGAUGAUGACGUAAGUCCAAAGAUUUAUCGCCCAAGGAUGAGCCCGCGUAAGAUUAGCUUGUUGGUGGGGUAAUGGCCUACCAAGGCGACGAUCUUUAGCUGGUCUGAGAGGAUGAUCAGCCACACUGGGACUGAGACACGGACCAGACUCCUACGGGAGGCAGCAGUGGGGAAUAUUGGACAAUGGGCGAAAGCCUGAUCCAGCAAUGCCGCGUGGGUGAUGAAGGCCUUAGGGUUGUAAAGCUCUUUUACCAGGGAUGAUAAUGACAGUACCUGGAGAAUAAGCUCCGGCUAACUCCGUGCCAGCAGCCGCGGUAA